AACGAACGCUGGCGGCAUGCCUAACACAUGCAAGUCGAACGAGACCUUCGGGUCUAGUGGCGCACGGGUGCGUAACGCGUGGGAACCUGCCCUUAGGUUCGGAAUAACCCCCCGAAAGGGGUGCUAAUACCGGAUAAUGUCUUCGGACCAAAGAUUUAUCGCCUUUGGAUGGGCCCGCGUUGGAUUAGCUAGUUGGUAGGGUAAAAGCCUACCAAGGCGACGAUCCAUAGCUGGUCUGAGAGGAUGAUCAGCCACACUGGGACUGAGACACGGCCCAGACUCCUACGGGAGGCAGCAGUGGGGAAUAUUGGACAAUGGGCGAAAGCCUGAUUCAGCAAUGCCGCGUGAGUGAUGAAGGCCUUAGGGUUGUAAAGCUCUUUUACCCGGGAUGAUAAUGACAGUACCGGGAGAAUAAGCUCCGGCUAACUCCGUG
rnacentral:rRNA from 1 species